AACGAACGCUGGCGGCAUGCCUAACACAUGCAAGUCGAACGAGAUCUUCGGGUCUAGUGGCGCACGGGUGUGUAACGCGUGGGAAUCUGCCCUUUGGUUCGGAAUAACAGUUGGAAACGACUGCUAAUACCGGAUGAUGACGAAAGUCCAAAGAUUUAUCGCCAGAGGAUGAGCCCGCGUAGGAUUAGCUAGUUGGUGUGGUAAAGGCGCACCAAGGCGACGAUCCUUAGCUGGUCUGAGAGGAUGAUCAGCCACACUGGGACUGAGACACGGCCCAGACUCCUACGGGAGGCAGCAGUGGGGAAUAUUGGACAAUGGGCGAAAGCCUGAUCCUGCAAUGCCGCGUGAGUGAUGAAGGCCUUAGGGUUGUAAAGCUCUUUUACCCGGGAUGAUAAUGACAGUACCGGGAGAAUAAGCUCCGGCUAACUCCGUGCCAGCCGCCGCGGUAA
rnacentral:rRNA from 1 species